rnacentral:lncRNA from 1 species
UGAGGAGGUCAGUGUGUGUUUAUAGCAUCGUGUCAAAUAAGUAAUGAAUAAAAACCAUCUCAUCCGAGGAAAUUGACUCUUGGACAUGGAUUAUCAUGAUAAUAACUACCUAAAAUAAUAAACACGUUUGGAGGAACUGUAUUUGAAGAGUAGGCUAGUGUCACUUUUGAAAAGUGCGGAACUUAUGAUGACCUGUAGCCAUAAUAGCCAGCCACGAGAGGUCUCACUUUGACUGAAUGUUAUGUCCUCACUCAUCAUGUCAUCACUCUGUCAUUGUCGCAUGCUUAAACGCCAGCAAGAGCCUAUAUCCCCACCCGCCCCUGACCAGGUACGGUAACUGUUAACGUUACUGUCAUUCAAAACGUCAAACGAAUCGGCGUUAACCAAGAGCAUCGGCAGAGCCAUCCUGGCGGCUAUUCAAAAUGUUUCAACAACGACAGCAACCACCUCAGGGCCACCACAGGCCACCUCGGUAAGUAUGUUUUCCAAAUCACGUAGCAUUGGAUUCAAGGCUAACUUAACUAAACUAGCUAACGGUAACCAGUAGAGAUUUACUACUAGCACCAAAUGCACUUUAUGUGUAGCACAUUUGUUUCUAUAAAGCGUAAAACUCACACCGGUUAAUGUAAGUGACGCAGUGGGCUAGAGAGAGAGAAAUGCUGAUGGAGGACAGAGGCAGUCACAAUGAUAAAGACAUUUAAUUUAAUAUGAAUAAGGUACCAGAGUAAAAAAGCAUAAAAAAGCAUAAAAUGUAUCUCUCUGUUUCCUUUGCCAAUCUUAACCCUGGGUUUUGACUGCUGGGCAUAUAAACAUUAAAAACACAUGAAAUAUAAUGUUGCUAAUAUUUUGCUAAUGUCUCUUCAGGGUCCCACCACUUACAAUUACACACCGCUCCAGUGACCUUGUCUGUCAAAUGACUACCAAAGAAGACAUCAGAUUUCCAAAGAGGAGCUUGAACAUGUUCUUUCACUGAAAACCACCUUUACAGAAGCGGCAUCUAUUCUUUCAAUCUCAAGGCCAACUUUCUACAAGUUACUGCAAGACUAUAAUAUCCCAACAUCAAAAUUUAAGAGCAUCAGUGAUCAACAGUUGGAUCUUGAAGUGUCACAAAUAAAAACUGAACACCCAAAUGUUGGAGAAGUGAUGCUUAUGUGGC